AGAGCGCCCUCUAGCUCUGCGUAUGAAUAAAACAUAGCCUACACUAGACAGCUCUCCGGUGAACGCUAAUCGGGAUUGUUUAGUAGCCAAAUAUGGAUGUGAUUGAUAGUAUUCUAUAAAGAAAUAUGAAGUAUACAUGAGAACGCAUUAACAUUUUUCUAAACAUUCACUCUUUAUUUCUAAACGUCCUAAGGGAAUACUUGGUUGGCAUGAACUUUAUCAGCGGUCUCAAGAUUGAACAGAAGGAAUAUGAGGACUGGGACUGUCAAGCUCAAGCAGAGACAAUAAAAGCCACAAGCAAGGGGGCCAGACUCUUACAGUGUCCUUUGGCAUUCCCUAGCAUUUGGUGACCUCUCAAUGACAGAGCUAGCAAUGGGCUGCAGCUUGCCAGGUGAGUUUUGUCAGCUUGUUCAGUUGUUCUACUUUGCCAUUGUGACACUGCAGCAAUCUAAGCUUUAGAGCAACAGAGAGCCUAGCCUCAUUAGUGCGGGACAUUUAUCAGCCACCUGCUUGUUUUAUAGCACCCUAUAGUAUCCAGCGCAAAAAUAUAUCAUCUGAAAUGCUGACAACACAAACUGACAUUUCUUUCAAAAUAAAGGCAGGACUGUCUCCGCUCUUUACAGCUUUUUUACUUUUCCGGCUACCCCACGUCAAAAGCAUUUCUGCUUUUAUUUCUCUUUUAAAUUUUUCUGUUUAAUAAAGCUGUGGUUUCCAGUGUGCACGUGGGUGUCACAUUGGCAUGUACAAGAAGUUCCACUGACUUUCAUCCUACUGAGCGUUGAGCUGUGCUGUGAGGUUUGCAGCAUCUCUGGAGCCACGGCUGAAAGGCCAUGGCCCUGUGCUAGUGUGUGGGUUAUAGGCUGGGCUGUGUGGGGUGGCCUCCGUCAAUGCUACCUCCUCCUCUGUCAUUUACUUACCACCAGCACUCCCACUGAGGAGAUGAGGCGCUGUCAGCCUGUGGUCUCUGUCAUCUGGUACACGGGGUGAAUUCUGGGUGGAGUAUUGGGGAGAGCAAGCUGCAGUCAAGAAACUCCAUGAUACUCUGGGCCAGGCAGAUAUGUGAUGGCAUUUCUUUUAUUUAUCACUACAAUAAUUAUCUGGUUUAAGCCUUUUUUUUCCUGUUUUUUUUUUUUUAAAGUUACUAGAAAAGGUGGACAUAUCUUUAUCUUAGUGAUGUGCCAUAUAUGUGUUUGUCUUUUAUUUCAAUAUGAACUCAUGUAUCAGUUACCUGGUUUCCAUUGAUAGAAUUAAUAUACAUUACUGUUCAAAUAUUUGGA